rnacentral:rRNA from 1 species
AUUGAACGCUGGCGGCAUGCCUUACACAUGCAAGUCGAACGGUAACGGGCCUUCGGGUGCCGACGAGUGGCGAACGGGUGAGUAAUACAUCGGAACGUGCCCGAUCGUGGGGGAUAACGAGGCGAAAGCUUUGCUAAUACCGCAUACGAUCUACGUAUGAAAGCCGGGGACCGCAAGGCCUUGCGCGGACGGAGCGGCCGAUGGCAGAUUAGGUAGUUGGUGGGAUAAAAGCUUACCAAGCCGACGAUCUGUAGCUGGUCUGAGAGGAUGAUCAGCCACACUGGGACUGAGACACGGCCCAGACUCCUACGGGAGGCAGCAGUGGGGAAUUUUGGACAAUGGGCGCAAGCCUGAUCCAGCCAUGCCGCGUGCAGGAUGAAGGCCUUCGGGUUGUAAACUGCUUUUGUACGGAACGAAAAGCCUUCUUUUAAUACAGGAGGGUCAUGACGGUACCGUAAGAAUAAGCACCGGCUAACUACGUG